rnacentral:rRNA from 1 species
AACGAACGCUGGCGGCAGGCCUAACACAUGCCAGUCGAGCGAGCAUUUCGGUGCUAGCGGCGGACGGGUGAGUAACGCGUGGGAACGUGCCCUUUUCUGCGGAAUAGUCCUGGGAAACUGGGGGUAAUACCGCAUACGCCCUUUUGGGGAAAGAUUUAUCGGAGAAGGAUCGGCCCGCGUUGGAUUAGGUAGUUGGUGGGGUAAUGGCCCACCAAGCCGACGAUCCAUAGCUGGUUUGAGAGGAUGAUCAGCCACACUGGGACUGAGACACGGCCCAGACUCCUACGGGAGGCAGCAGUGGGGAAUCUUAGACAAUGGGGGCAACCCUGAUCUAGCCAUGCCGCGUGAGUGAUGAAGGCCUUAGGGUUGUAAAGCUCUUUCAGCUGGGAAGAUAAUGACGGUACCAGCAGAAGAAGCCCCGGCUAACCCCGUG